ensembl:lncRNA
CUCGAAAUCCCCCGCAGGGAUUCCCCGUCUCUGACCAUGGCCCAGGCGAGGUGGGCAGAAAGUGAAAGUGAAACGUGCUCCGUGGGUCCAACUGGGUCGACAGGAGUAUUUCAGCGGCGAGGGGAAAGCACCGCGAGUCUCUUUGGACUUUUUACUACGAUUUCCCCUCUCGGCGUCACAGGCGCGAGGACACUAAACCACCGUGACUGUAACAUCAAGCCGCUUCUCUGCCGCUCAAGACGACGCGUUAACGGCGAGCUGUCGUUGAACAAGACGGUUACCUCAAGCAGGCUGAAGAAGCCCAUUCACAGGAGAAGAUGGCUGGAGGAGAGGGGAGGGCCGGCGUGCCAGGCAUUCCACAGCAGCACACAGUGGACACAUUAUUAUGACAUUUACAAGGCCAGCUCGACGGAUGCAGCGUGAUCCGUGUGUGUGUGUGUGUGUGUGUGUGUGUGUGUGUGUGUGUGUGUAAGGAAGGGAGGUCGGCUCCCAGUGAUGGAGCCUCGGAGCGGGACGAGGCACAGAAACACAAAUCCAGUGCUGCAAACUCACGACUGCCCUUGAUACAUCGCUGGCGUGCUGCUGCUUUUUUUAAAUGACGACACUUCAUAAUGCAAAGGGAGGGAAACAGAUGCACACCUUUCGCCCCGUUCAGGAAUAUUUGGCGGGAUAAUCGCUCCCGUGUCGAGAGUGAGGUGUCUGCAGGAAUAGCAACCAGCAAAACAAGAAAUCUGAAUUAUUCCUUUAGAGUUUGAAGGUUUAACAUGAUAUUUGAGGCCAUUUAUUGCACAAACGGCCCUUUGACUGACUCCUCCGGUGAGGCCGUAUUUACAAUAUGCUAUUCACCAUAUUGCACGAACGCUUGCAUGGGAAGCGCUCCGAUCAACCUGACAACGAAUGCAUCGUUUC